GUGAGGAAUUUUGCGCAAUGGGGGCAACCCUGACGCAGCGACGCCGCGUGGAGGACGAAGUCUUUCGGGAUGUAAACUCCUGUCAGUGGGGACGAUAAUGACGGUACCCACAGAGGAAGCACCGGCUAACUCCGUGCCAGCAGCCGCGGUAAGACGGAGGGUGCAAGCGGUGUUCGGAAUUACUGGGCGUAAAGCGUAUGUAGGCGGCAAGUUAAGUUCAAUGUGAAAGCCCACGGCUCAACCGAGGAGAUGCAUUGAAUACUGGCUAGCUAGGGGGUGUUAGAGGACGCCGGAAUUCCCAGUGUAGCGGUGAAAUGCGUAGAUAUUGGGAUGAACAUCGGUAGCGAAAGCGGUCUUCUGGGACAUACCUGCCGCUGAGGUACGAAAGCGUGGGGAGCAAACGGGAUUAGAAACCCCGGUAGUCC
rnacentral:rRNA from 1 species